rnacentral:rRNA from 1 species
GACGAACGCUGGCGGCGUGCUUAACACAUGCAAGUCGAACGGAAAGGCCCUGCUUUUGUGGGGUGCUCGAGUGGCGAACGGGUGAGUAACACGUGAGUAACCUGCCCUUGACUUUGGGAUAACUUCAGGAAACUGGGGCUAAUACCGGAUAGGAGCUCCUGCUGCAUGGUGGGGGUUGGAAAGUUUCGGCGGUUGGGGAUGGACUCGCGGCUUAUCAGCUUGUUGGCGGGGUAGUGGCUUACCAAGGCUUUGACGGGUAGCCGGCCUGAGAGGGUGACCGGCCACAUUGGGACUGAGAUACGGCCCAGACUCCUACGGGAGGCAGCAGUGGGGAAUAUUGCACAAUGGGCGGAAGCCUGAUGCAGCAACGCCGCGUGCGGGAUGACGGCCUUCGGGUUGUAAACCGCUUUCGCCUGUGACGAAGCGUGAGUGACAGUAAUGGGUAAAGAAGCACCGGCUAACUACGUGCCAGCAGCCGCGGUGAUACGUAGGGUGCGAGCGUUGUCCGGAUUUAUUGGGCGUAAAGGGCUCGUAGGUGGUUGAUCGCGUCGGAAGUGUAAUCUUGGGGCUUAACCCUGAGCGUGCUUUCGAUACGGGUUGACUUGAGGAAGGUAGGGGAGAAUGGAAUUCCUGGUGGAGCGGUGGAAUGCGCAGAUAUCAGGAGGAACACCAGUGGCGAAGGCGGUUCUCUGGGCCUUUCCUGACGCUGAGGAGCGAAAGCGUGGGGAGCGAACAGGCUUAGAUACCCUGGUAGUCCACGCUGUAAACGGUGGGUACUAGGUGUGGGGUCCAUUCCACGGGUUCCGUGCCGUAGCUAACGCUUUAAGUACCCCGCCUGGGGAGUACGGCCGCAAGGCUAAAACUCAAAGGAAUUGACGGGGCCCCGCACAAGCGGCGGAGCAUGCGGAUUAAUUCGAUGCAACGCGUAGAACCUUACCUGGGUUUGACAUGGAUCGGGAGCGCUCAGAGAUGGGUGUGCCUCUUUUGGGGUCGGUUCACAGGUGGUGCAUGGCUGUCGUCAGCUCGUGUCGUGAGAUGUUGGGUUAAGUCCCGCAACGAGCGCAACCCUUGUUCACUGUUGCCAGCACGUUAUGGUGGGGACUCAGUGGAGACCGCCGGGGUCAACUCGGAGGAAGGUGGGAUGACGUCAAGUCAUCAUGCCCCUUAUGUCCAGGGCUUCACGCAUGCUACAAUGGCUGGUACAGAGAGUGGCGAGCCUGUGAGGGUGAGCGAAUCUCGGAAAGCCGGUCUCAGUUCGGAUUGGGGUCUGCAACUCGACCUCAUGAAGUCGGAGUCGCUAGUAAUCGCAGAUCAGCAACGCUGCGGUGAAUACGUUCCCGGG